GACGAACGCUGGCGGCGUGCCUAAUACAUGCAAGUUGAGCGCUGAAGGUUGGUACUUGUACCAACUGGAUGAGCAGCGAACGGGUGAGUAACGCGUGGGGAAUCUGCCUUUGAGCGGGGGACAACAUUUGGAAACGAAUGCUAAUACCGCAUAAAAACUUUAAACACAAGUUUUAAGUUUGAAAGAUGCAAUUGCAUCACUCAAAGAUGAUCCCGCGUUGUAUCAGCUAGUUGGUGAGGUAAAGGCUCACCAAGGCGAUGAUACAUAGCCGACCUGAGAGGGUGAUCGGCCACAUUGGGACUGAGACACGGCCCAAACUCCUACGGGAGGCAGCAGUAGGGAAUCUUCGGCAAUGGACGAAAGUCUGACCGAGCAACGCCGCGUGAGUGAAGAAGGUUUUCGGAUCGUAAAACUCUGUUGGUAGAGAAGAACGUUGGUGAGAGUGGAAAGCUCAUCAAGUGACGGUAACUACCCAGAAAGGGACGGCUAACUACGUG
rnacentral:rRNA from 1 species